rnacentral:rRNA from 1 species
UAGGGAAUCUUUGGCAAUGGACGGAAGUCUGACCGAGCAACGCCGCGUGAGUGAAGAAGGUUUUCGGAUCGUAAAGCUCUGUUGUAAGAGAAGAACGAGUGUGAGAGUGGAAAGUUCACACUGUGACGGUAUCUUACCAGAAAGGGACGGCUAACUACGUGCCAGCAGCCGCGGUAAUACGUAGGUCCCGAGCGUUGUCCGGAUUUAUUGGGCGUAAAGCGAGCGCAGGCGGUUAGAUAAGUCUGAAGUUAAAGGCUGUGGCUUAACCAUAGUAGGCUUUGGAAACUGUUUAACUUGAGUGCAAGAGGGGAGAGUGGAAUUCCAUGUGUAGCGGUGAAAUGCGUAGAUAUAUGGAGGAACACCGGUGGCGAAAGCGGCUCUCUGGCUUGUAACUGACGCUGAGGCUCGAAAGCGUGGGGAGCAAACAGGAUUAGAUACCCUGGUAGUCCACGCUGUAAACGAUGAGUGCUAGGUGUUAGACCCUUUCCGGGGUUUAGUGCCGUAGCUAACGCAUUAAGCACUCCGCCUGGGGAGUACGACCGCAAGGUUG